CUUCCAGUAAGCUGCCCCUGCACGAAGCCCUGAUCUCUGGCCACUCUGGGCCAGAUGACACAAUCACUCCAUGGGCCACUGCCUGCUUUGCACUGGCAUUACAGGGAAGCUACAGAGAAGCCAGUAUACACUUCUGACCAAGCCCUGGAGUGGGGUGCCCAGGACAGAUGCCAACAGCUGCAGGACCACAGCAGGAGCCUGAGCAGGAGAUAGGAGCCAGAGGUGAGGGUCAGGUGGCAGACCCGACAGAGGGAGAUGGCUGGUGCUGGUGUUGCUGAUGGGGGUGGGGAAUGGUGGGAGUGAUAGGGGUGGGGUGACGGCAGGUGCUGACAGAUGAGAAUGCUGUGGCCAAUGGUGAUGACUGGCAGGAGGAAGGUGUGGGAGGGUGCAGGUUUGUUUGUGAAAAUGGCCGUGCACAGGAGGCAGCUUGCCCUGUGCUUGCACUGGCUUCUGUCCCCACGAGCCCACAACUGGGCAAAGACACCAGGGCAGUGGCAUACCAGCAUUCUGAGUGUUACUUUUCUUUGUGAGGACACUUGUGCUUGCACUGUGCACCUGUUUAUGCUGUGUUUGUACAUGUGUGUGCAGGGCUGGCUGCAGCCUGCUGUGAAGAAUUGGGUGUGUCUUGUGCAAUGUAGCUAUGGGCAUGGGCAGCCCCAGACAACAGGGAAUGCAUUCUGUCCCGUGACCCAGCUGCUCAAAGGUGCACCUAUCAUCCCUUUGGCAUGCUCAUCAGCAAAGUCAUCAACAUUGUUUAAGACCCUCCUAUGGUUCCUCAUGUACCCAGGACACAGGCCGAGGCCUCCAGGGCUCUGAGGUGUGGGCUCUGCUCCCUCUGAAGCCCCAGUCCUGCCAUGGACCCUCCUUCCAACUCCUGUCUAUCCCUCAUACCUGGACUGCACCCAGGGCCUUUGCCUGGCUGUUCCCUCUGUCCAGACCUUCUGUUCCCUUCACUGCCUGCCUACCUACCCCUUCCAUGAGCCGGCUGGUGGCUUCAGCCUUUGGAAGCCUCCUGGGGGAGACCCCUAUGCAUCUCUUCCUCCCACACCCCCCCACUGGCCUUGUCAUUUGGGAGAGGGUCAGACAGGAACCAGGCCCUCCUCCUUGCCCACUGCUGUCUCCCAGUGUGAGUAUGUGCACGUUGGCACCAGAACAUUCACUUCAUCUGUGUGCAGGGGAUCCCCGGCCCUGUGUGUUUAUUUAGAAACCGGAGCUCUGCCCAGUGGCCCAGCUGCAGUCAGGGAGGCCGGAGAAUUCCAGAGGACAGUGGGAGAGCAGAGCAGGGAGUGCAGGCACUGGGGGAUUGACCCACCCUCCAGGGUCAGGGGCUGGGUGGUGUCAGGGUCUCCUCCAGGGUGCACAGCAGGCAGACACAGUGUGGUUUGGCCAAAUCUUGCACCCACAGCAACUCACACGAGUCUUCCGCUGAGCCACGCUCACACAUGUGGAAGUCUGCAUGCCUGCACACACGUGCCCGCAGCCUGCCGGACACACACGUGCACGCGUGGCACACAUGUACACAUGCACACAAACACGCUUGCUCACGCCUGUGCACGGCGUAUGGGGCACGGGGACCAGUAGAGAUGGGGACUCAGGAUGACACGCGAGGCGCGUCACCGGCUCCAGCGGCUGGAGCGGACCGGCGGGUGAGAAGCGGCAGUCGCGGCUGGGUCUGCCCAAGAUGGGGCCUGAGCCGCCGGCCGGCCGCGGAGGAGACGGAAGGGGAGGGCGGGGCGGCGCGGGAGCAGCGCGGGCGCCCUCUCUCGGCCGUCCGGGGAGGCGCGCCCAGUUCUCCGCCCUCCGCUACUGCAGCCCCGCGCCAGCCGCCUGGGCCUGGAGCCCCCCGUGGUCCCCAGGAGACCAGUUCCGAGGCCUGGAGGCCCGCUCCAGGAGGUGGGACCGGGCCAGGCCGGCAGGCCAGGGGGAGAGGGUGCCGCAGGAGGCUGCCUGGGCCUGGAGCGCUCGGCCGGCCUUGCCAGGAACCAGCUCCUGCCCGGCCCCGCGGCUGUGUGACCGCAGGCCCGAGCUCCCUGCGACCCAGCCCGCCCGGACGCCGCAGACUCAGCACGCUGCGGACCCAGCACAUUAGAUCUCGGGUCGGGGCUGGGAGGGCUCCGAGAGCAGAGCCUGCGCCCCAUUUCACAGACGCGGAUACCGAGGCCAAGCGGGCCCGGAGCCUGGAGCACGGGAAGGGACCAGGGGGGCUCCACAGCUCGACUGGUCCCCUCCCUGGCCCGGGAUCCGGAGGAGUGCGGCGUGAUGCCGAGGGCCACGAGUCGCCCUCUCUCCGCCCCCGCGAGGGACCGCGGCGGCAACAGGCGCCCUUCCCAGGUAUCGGAGGCGGCAAAGUGCCCGCUCUCGCCCCCGGCGCAGCGCCCGCCCGCGGAGCCGCAUGCUGCUCCGGCAGCACCCCCGGCCUCCAGGCUCUGAGCUCCUGCGCCAGCCUCCCGCCCCCCAGAUCCAGGCGCAACAAGUCUGAAAACAGCUACGAGGACCAGCGAGCGAGCCAAGAGGGAGAGCGCUGGGCGCUCCGGGAUCCCGGACGCGCGCCACAUCCGCCUCCAGGGACCGGGCGCGGGCGCCGGGCGCCGGGGACUGACUCUGCGGGCUGCCCACACCCGCUUCCAGGGUCCCAACUCCUCCUGGGCGGGGGCGCUCCCCGGAACCCCUCCGCUACCCCCUUCCCCUGCUUGACCUUGCUGGGGUUCUCAAAGCCGGACCUGGCGGCACCCCGGCGAGCAGGGCGUAGAGUUUUGCUGCCGCUGCGGGUCCGGAAAGCAAAGGCUUCCCUCUCGACCUCCUUUUCUGCCUCCUCAGCUGCGUGGGUCGCCGAACAAUGGAACGCUUGAGGGUUCUGGGGGACGUUAUAGUAGCUCCCCCAGACCCCAAACACGGUGACUCCCCACACCUGCCUCAAGUCUGCUGCAGCCUCAUACCCUGGCUCUCCCCUCGUUCCCACCGCCUCUGAGUGAGGCUUGGAGAAGCCAGCCUGCCCUCCCCAAUCCUGGACCAAUCUGCCCAGUGGCCGCCUGCCCUUAACAGUCCUCUGCCUGCAAUCUUCUGAUGUGGAAGAUAGAUGAUGGAGGUGAUGGUGAUGAUAUUAACAGUGUUGGGCGGCGCCUGUGGCUCAGAGGGGAAGGGCACAGGUCCCAUAUGCUGGAGGUGGCGGGUUCAAACCCAGCCC